UUUAGCUCUCUAAAUUUUUAGUUUGCUUGACAAAAGGAUCGCCUCUUAUCCAUUAACACUGUUGUGAUUAAUACACCAUCCACCCACGACUUGGGCAAUUCCUGUAGAAAUAUUAAGCAAGAGGUCUGCGUGUGGAAGGCUGCGCAAUGAGUGCAUGGGCAGAGUGCAUGCACGUAGCAGGGUGGUUAGUUAGACAGUCAGUUCAGGCGUGCUGAAUGAAUUGAUUGGAAGGGUUUAAUGCAGUCCUGCGACAGCAAAGGGUACCGAAUAUUACUAUUAACUUUGCCCGAGGAUAUGCGUUGUCGAUUGUCAUCUGGAUGGAUCGAGUAUUUCAACACGAACAACCAUAAAAUGGGCCUUCCGUAUCUUUAAAGGUGACGCAUUACACCACCAGGUGUGAGUUUGAUCCAUUUUGAAAAUCGGGCCUCUUCUGACUUCACAAGUGGGCGCGUCCACCUAGAUGUGUGCUGGAUAGAUCAGUCUACCAGCCUACCCAGUGGACUGUAGCAAACGUUGCUCAUCUAUCCUUCAUACAUCUAGGACAGGGGUGUCAAACAUACGGCCCGCGAGAUGGUUUGAUCAGGCCCGCGACUUGUAGAGCAUACAUUUCUGAGUGUCAAAAAAAAGUAAGUCUCUAGCCCAUUCCUGUGAGUUAUGAUUUUCUAAAGAACUAAGCAAAAUGCUCACUCCAGCCGCUAGGGGGCAGCCAAAUAAAGUUUGGCUGGAAAAAUAGACUGAGAAUUAUUUAUUCACAGAGGUGAAUACAAAAGCAGUGUACUUGGUAUGUAAUCAGCAAGUUUUAGUGCUCAAAGAAUAUAAUAUUCGGCGCCACUAUGACUCACAAUAAAGAAAAAUAUCACCAUUUGAAAGGAUAACUAAGAAAAGAGGAGGUGGACAAAUUGUUAGCUGGUCUGAAGAAACUGCAGUCUACUUUUACUUUCUGCCGCGAGGUCUAAUGCAGCAGUGAUAACCAGCUACCUUAUUGCUCACGAGAUGCAAGUGCAAGCAUCCAAGCCAUUUUCUGAUGGCGAGUUCGUGAAAACAUGCAUGCUGAAGACUGCAGAAGUGUCGUGUUCCCUGAAAAGCGAUUUGCCUUUGCCAACAUUAGUCUGUCGAAGAACACUGUUGCAGAUGGGGUAACGGAGCUCUCAGGAGAAUUGGGCAGCAAAAUAAAUGACAAAAUCAAGUCAUUUAUUGCUUUUUUGGUUGCAAUUGAUGAGAGCACUGAUAUAACAGAUAUUGCUCAACUGGCCAUAUUUAUUCGGGGUGUUGAUAAGACUUUGGCAAUCACAGAGGAGUUCCUUGAUUGGUGCCUAUGAAGGACACUACAACAGCGAAUUACAUAUUCAGCUCUCUCGUUGGAGUGCUGGACAAGGUCGGAGUGGACUGGUCCCGUGCCGUCAGUGUUGUGCCUGAACUUGUUCAUAUUUUGGGCAAACGUGAACUGAACAAACUGUAUUACUGCCUGAUGAACGUUACUGUGAACUUGUUCAUUCUGGUGUCUGUGAACGGCACCUUCAAAUAACCCCCUUCACAAUGGGGGUUAUUUGUUUAUCAACACGGCGGAUGCGCGCACAGAACGCUGCGUUGUUUGACCGGUUGCCAUGGUUAUAUCCUGGCAACCGAUCAUAUCCAUGGUUAAUUUGCAGUUGCAAAUUAACCUGUUACAUUACUGAUACAUUAAAUUGUAUCAGAAAACGCGGUUAUAUGCUAAAGACACUAAAGUAUCUGUCGUAUAAAGGGUGGGACGAAAUUCAAAUUAUAAAUAUGUACACUUUAUGUUGAAAGCAUAGGCCAUCGCGAUUCCCAUUGAAACUAAUGGCACAGUGAUUAUACUUCAAAACGAGAGCUGUUAAAUUGUGAAAUGAAUCAAACUGUAAUCAGACAACGCGGUUAUAUGCUAUAGACCCUGGAGUAUCUGUGGUAUAAAGGCUGAGACGAAUUUCGAAUUAUAAAUAUGUACAAUCCAUAACGUUAGCUCUCUGGCUCAUAGCUCAGCAGACUAGAAUACCUCCUAGAAUCAUUGCUUGUUGGCCGGAAAAGGAAAGGGGGGCUGUUUACGCUUGGUUGUAGUCUUUUCGCUCGGUUCUCCGUCUCAACAGUAGGGCUAGAACCGAGCGAAAAUACCUCCCCUUUCCGUUUCCGGCCAACGAGCAAUGAGUCUUCCAACAGAAAUCAAUGGGAUUUACAAAAUGUGCUAAAUUUGCAUUAAAACACGAUAUAAACUGUAUUUCGCUACGAUACUUGAUUCAACCACUCUAUUUCAUCCUAGACAAACCACAAAGGGGGCUCAAUGUUCAAAAUACCGGAAAAAAAUAAUAGCUCACAGCAACGUAUUGAAAAAAAGAACUAUGAACUAGUUAAUUUUUUGGAACUGUGAACUUAGUUCAAAAUUUUGAAUUAUGAAGGUUUAACUCGACUAGUUCAUUUUAAAAUUUGUGAACUGAACUUUGAACUAGUUCACGUAGAAAGUGAACUUUCCCAACACUGCGUGCCGUCAGCCUCGCUACAGAUGGUGUACCAUCAAUGGUCAAGAGAAAGGCAGGCACUGCAAAUUGGGAUUUUGGGGCAUUUCACUGUAUUUUGCAUCAAGAAGCGUUGUGUUGCAAAACACUAAAAAUGGAUCAUGUUAUGGGUGUGGUUGUAAAAACUAAUUGUAUCAGAGUGCAAGGUCUGAAUCACCAUCAGUUUGACACUUUUCUCAGAGAUGAUGACAUUCAGGCUGGCCUACCAUACCACACUGAAGUACGGUGGUUAAACCGAGGUGCCGUGCUCAAGCGUUUCUUAGAGCUAUGAGAGGAUAUUGGAUAGUUCAUGGAGAAAAUGGGUAGCCCAGUGAAGGAACUUAAAUGUCCGCAGUGGGUGCAGGAUCUUGACUUUAUGGUGGAUAUUACACAGCACCUGAAUAAUCGUAACAAAAUGUUGCUAGGCUGCAAAAAAAUUGUCCCUCAGUAUAACGACCGCAUACGCGCAUUCAAGUUAAAACUGUCACUCUGGGAGGUGCAGCUAUCUAGUGGUGACACCUCCCAUUUACCAUGUCUAACCGCUGUGCGUGCGACCGGACGUAAUGCUGAUAUGGAUCAAUACAAAGACAAGAUGACAGGAUUGCUGCGGCAGUUCGAGCGGAAGUUUCAGGUCUUCAGUGAACUAGAGGAGGAAUAUGCUGUUUUUUGCCCGCCAUUUCCAGUCAAGCCUUCUGACAUGCCAGCUGACAUCCAACUCGAGAUAAUUGACUUGCAGUGUGAUACCAGUAUGAAGGAGAAAUUUGCAUCGGUGGGCUUGGACACAUUUGAUCAAUAUCUCUUGCCAGGGUUCCCCAAAUUAACAUCCCUGGCUGCAAAGGUUAUCCAUGUUUGGGACUACCUAUCUUUUUGAACAGGUGUUCUCUGUAAUAAUAAUAAUAAUUUAUCAAUUUUAUAGCGUGUAAUGAACCUAAAUAUAACAAAGCACCGCUCAAGGUUAACAAACACGCACUUGAAUGACAUUGUGAAAUGUGCUGCUACUCAGGAUUUGGCACCUGAUAUUGAUGCACUCGUAAAGGCUAAAAUAUGCCAAGUUUCAGAAGCCAGCAGCAGCAAAUAUACUGCAGUGAGAAAAAAAAGAAGUUAAUCAGCAAGUAGGCCUGGGCCAAAUUCGUGAUGCUCUUUCAGAAAUGUUUGCACUCUGAUGAAUACAGAUCUUUGAAAAUAAGUUUACUCAGGUUUCAUGUUAAAAGACAAGGAAUGUUGUGCAGUAUAUCAUUCUCAGCUUCAGUAGCCUACCAAACAGUUUAAUCGGAUGUAGCCUAAUCUCAUUGCUCAUGCACUGCUAUAACUUUUAUGUUUUAUUUUAUUUAUAUGUGCACAUUUACAUUUUCAAGGCAGUAUGAUAGCUUUCUUCAUAGCUCCCACUUGAGUUUGUUUAGUGUGGUGAGUUGGUUCAGAUGUAAAAAUGUAUUCACUCAACUCUAUAAAAAUUAACCAGUUGUUAAUGAA